GUACAGGUGUUCCAGCCUGUUGUUGAUGGCGGGCACACUGCUGAUCCUGUUGUGGGACAGGUGGAGCACAAGCAGGUUGGAGAUAUUAAAGGAGUUCUUGGGGAGUCCCCUGUCUGUCAGCUUGUUGUAGUUAAGCCGAAUGAAGGCAAGAUUGGGAAAGCUCUUGAAGUAUCCGUUAGGGAUGGUCUCAAUCUUGUUACUGUCCAGGUAGAGCUGGUGAAUGGCGGUGGGGACCCUGGGCGGCAUCUUUCUCAGGAUGUUGUGGGCCAGGUUGAGCUGCAUGAGGUUCUUGAGGCCAUGGAAGGUGUCGGGCUUGAAGACGCCGUCGCUCAGCCUGUUGUGCUGGAGAUCCAGG
rnacentral:lncRNA from 1 species